ACACCAGAAUCCUGGAACUUAUUUGAAUAAAACCCUUAACUGGGGGGAACCAUGCAUGCUGAAUACAGCGUCCUUAUGCAGUGGGCAGUCAGUGCAGCUGUGCUAUUGCCCAAAAGCCAGUACUUUACAAAUGAAGAUGAGUUACAUGGAGGGCAAGACCCCAGUUCUUUUUCUGCCUCUAUACAAGAUGGGGAUAAUGGGAACUACUGUUACAAAUGAAGAAGCUCUUGUUCCAAGGCCAUCUCCAAAUGUGGGAGCAACAUCAAUGGGAUACUCCCUGGCAAAUAUAUUACUUGCAUUUUUGUUUAAUGAUUGCAUUCACUAAACCCCUGCUA